GAAAUCAUGCCAAAUACCAUGGUUAAACAGGAUGUUUAAACAAUCACACGAGACACUCAGUAGACGACAAUUGUCUCGCUCUUAGACAGAAGAAAAAAAAUCCGGAAACUUCCUCACCUCCUCUCUACGCAAAUACGUGCUCGCGUAAUUGAAUAACAAAUCGAUAUAAUAAUUUUUGCGCUGAAAAAGGAAAAAAACAGAAAGAAAGAAAGAUGGAAAGGAGCUACGAGCUAUUCGAAGGCUAAAAGCUUUCCUCUGUGACACUGGUCCCUGGCCCAGGCGUAAUUGAUACAUCAGAUUCGAGAUGCUUUCAAUCGCGCCGGGUGUCCCAAGAUGAAGUAGCCCGCCCGUCUGAUCUCGAGCGUUAAUUACGUUUCGCCUUGGCGGGAAGGACGUCGUCGUCGUCGUCGUUCCAUCUUGCGCGAAGAUCAGAGAGAGGCUAGAGCCAGAAGCGACCAGCCGAGUUGUCGUAUUUACAUCGGACCAAUGAACCUCUCUGGGAUUCUCAUCGGAAGAGGAGAACGCUGUGAAACGUCCUUUGAUGCCCGCCUGAUUCCAUUUCUAGAGAAGAUAUGUAGUAAGGACGGCCUCGAUUCGCCGAGCAUGGAGCAUCCGGUAUAUCAAAAAGACGUGGAAUUUCUUCCGCUUUGAAUUGCUGUUUUAUUUCUUCUUUAGAACAAAAAGGGAAGAAAGCUACAGCUUGCAUGAACAAUACAAUGCGGUUUAGGUUAACAGGGUAUUAAAUAUUGUUCCAAUUGUAUUAAAUGUUGUUCCAAUUGUUUCCAGUUUCUGACUUUAUUCGUGACAGCUGCCAGUAAUAAGAGGUCGUUUGCUUCGAUCGUUUCAUUUUCAUCAACACCUUGGCAACAUUCGCAGAAUUUCGAAUUACGCACACUCAGUUUUAAUUUAGCAGCUGUUUUCAAUCGCUAGUCAGCUAAAUCAUGAGCAGCUUGUAAAACUGAAACAGCUGCGUCAUGUGUACUUGGCCUCCGAAUUGAAAAAUUGGUCGUCCCAACUGCUCCGCUAAUUCCGGCGAUUCCGAAAAUUUUCGUCGAAGACACUGCACCGACGAGGGACAAACGGGGCAAUAAAACGUGGGGAUGUGACGCGAAAGGAAGGACGUGAGGGAGGAAAUCCGUGAACGGCGACCCGCGGACGGGAAACUUCCACGGCGGUUCCGCGAGUGGCGGGGCCGGGAUUGGCGAAAACAAAAUCUCGAAUACGAAAGUCGAAAGAACAGAUAGACGGGAGGAAGAAAGGGAUUUGCCGAGCCGCUGAUUAGCCCACGAUAAUUAUUAUCGAUAUAGUAAUUUGUUAAUUUUUAAUUUUGAACAACAAAAACAUUACACUUUUGUGAUAUUUUGAAGUUUCU